AGGAUUAUAGUUUAAUAGGUAAAAUAUUCGUCUUCAAAAUGAACAUUAGGGGUUCAAAUCCUCUUAAUCCUG
rnacentral:tRNA from 1 species